AUUGAACGCUGGCGGCAUGCCUUACACAUGCAAGUCGAACGGUAACAGGUCUUCGGAUGCUGACGAGUGGCGAACGGGUGAGUAAUACAUCGGAACGUGCCUAGUAGUGGGGGAUAACUACUCGAAAGAGUGGCUAAUACCGCAUGAGAUCUACGGAUGAAAGCAGGGGAUCGCAAGACCUUGUGCUACUAGAGCGGCCGAUGGCAGAUUAGGUAGGUGGUGGGAUAAAAGCUUACCAAGCCGACGAUCUGUAGCUGGUCUGAGAGGACGAUCAGCCACACUGGGACUGAGACACGGCCCAGACUCCUACGGGAGGCAGCAGUGGGGAAUUUUGGACAAUGGGCGCAAGCCUGAUCCAGCAAUGCCGCGUGCAGGAUGAAGGCCUUCGGGUUGUAAACUGCUUUUGUACGGAACGAAAAGCCCUGGGUUAAUGCCCUGGGGUCAUGACGGUACCGUAAGAAUAAGCACCGGCUAACUACGUGCCAGCAGCCGCCGUAACAC
rnacentral:rRNA from 1 species